UUUUGCGUGCCUUCCACCGCCGCGAGCUCGGAAUGUCUGGCCCCGGGUGCUUCAGGGUCCGAGAACCUGCAGAAGUUCACACUUAAAUCCUACACGAGAGUCGUAUUUAUGAUGCAGAACUCGGUGCAGAACCCGAUGGAGUGCCCAAGGCGCUUGAGCCGUUCCUAGAAGGGGAAGGAGAGCCGCGGGCGGCAGCGGGGCAGGGGACGGAAUUGGGAAGCUUGGGAGCAGGAAGAAGGCCAGAGCUACUUAGGAUGGAGAAACGGAGGCCCAGGGAAGGGAUGUGCCCGAGGUCAUACAAAGAAGUUUGUGGGAAUCCAGGCCAUGCGCGGUGGCUCACGCUUGUAAUCCCAGCACUUUGGGAGGCCGAGGCGGGCAGAUCACGAAGUCAGAAGAUCGAGACCAUCCUGGCUAACACGGGACUCAAGACUGGAAUGGGAAGAGCAUGAAAUUGAGCUGUCUAUCCCCCUGGAUCUCUCAUUGCCACCUGCCCAUAGGUUGGCUGCACCCCUCCACCAAAGAAAGGCCAUGACUCCUUCCUGGCAGCCCUGUCUUACAGCUACUCUCUGGUGAUCUGGGAACCACUCCCUCCCUUACCCCUUGAUGCCUAGGGCUAGUGCCAGCACCUUGUUGUUGUUAGCCUCAGAGGCACUUGCACUGUUCCUUGAUGGUUUUCCCAAAUCUUGCCCUCAUCUUUGUAAAUACUGUUUGCCGUUUAUUACACUGUCAUCAUAUUACCCA
rnacentral:lncRNA from 1 species